rnacentral:lncRNA from 13 species
ACAGAACCAACAUUCUGUGAAUAUCUUAAAGACCAAAUUACAUUUUUCUUUGAUACCAACGACAACACAGAGACCUCCCCAGCAUUAUUGUGGGAAACACUGAAGGCUUAUCUGAGAGGCUGUAUCAUCUCCUUUCAGGCUGCCAGGAGUAGGCAAAACAGGCAAAACAGAGGAAAACUGGAAGAACUGGAGGGACAAAUUCACUUACUGGAUAGGGAGAAUGCUAGCCACCCAUCUAUGGAGAAACAUAAAAAAAUUACCUCUUUAAAAUUAGAAUAUAAUCAGAUUCUCUCAGCUAAAAUUGCUAAAUCUUUUCUCUAUGCCAAGCAAAAAUAUUUUGAGUUUGGUGACAAACCACACAAAUUUCUCGCCAGACAACUUCGAAAAAAUGUGAGUGACCGAAUGAUUCACAGGGUUAAAUCUGCAUCUGAGGAAUUACUCUCUUCCCCCAAGACAUCAAUGACAGAUUCCGGCAGUUUUAUGAGACUCUAUAUACAUCUAAAGCGGAUCCUAACCCCUUAAUUAUGCAAACAUUUUUGGAGGACUGUAAUCUUCCUGCCCUGAACCAGGAAGAUUCUAACUUGGAUCAUUGUUACUCUAACUUCCGCGACGCAUAUAAGGCCCUGCCCCGCCCUCCUUUCGGAAAAGCUGACCACGACUCCAUUUUGUUGAUCCCUGCCUACAGACAGAAACUAAAACAAGAGGCUCAAACGCUGAGGUCUGUCCAACGCUGGUCCGACCAAGCUGACUCCACACUCCAAGACUGCUUCCAUCACGUGGACUGGGACAUGUUUCGUAUUGCGUCAGAUAACAAUAUUGACGAAUACGCUGAUUCGGUGUGCGAGUUCAUUAGAACGUGCGUUGAAGAUGUCGUUCCCAUAGCAACGAUUAAAACAUUCCCUAACCAGAAACCGUGGAUUGAUGGCAGCAUUCGCGUGAAACUGAAAGCGCGAACCACUGCUUUUAAUCAGGGCAAGGUGACUGGUAACAUGACCGAAUACAAACAGUGCAGCUAUUCCCUCCGCAAGGCUAUCAAACAAGCUAAGCGUCAGUACAGAGACAAAGUAGAAUCUCAAUUCAACGGCUCAGACACAAGAGGCAUGUGGCAGGGUCUACAGUCAAUCACGGACUACAAGAAGAAAUCCAGCCCAGGCACGGACCAGGAUGUCCUGCUCCCAGGCAGACUAAAUAACUUUUUUGCCCGCUUUGAGGACAAUACAGUGCCACUGACACGGCCUGCAACGAAAACAUGCGGACUCUCCUUCACUGCAGCCGAGGUGAGUAAGACAUUUAAACGUGUUAACCCUCGCAAGGCUGCAGGCCCAGACGGCAUCCCCAGCCGCGCCCUCAGAGCAUGCGCAGACCAGCUGGCCGGUGUGUUUACGGACAUAUUCAAUCAAUCCCUAUACCAGUCUGCUGUUCCCACAUGCUUCAAGAGGGCCACCAUUGUUCCUGUUCCCAAGAAAGCUAAGGUAACUGAGCUAAACGACUACCGCCCCGUAGCACUCACUUCCGUCAUCAUGAAGUGCUUUGAGAGACUAGUCAAGGACCAUAUCANNNNNNNNNNNNNNNNNNNNNNNNNNNNNNNNNN